UNAACGAUGAGUGCUAGGUGUUAGGCCCUUUCCGGGGCUNAGUGCCGGAGCUAACGCAAUAAGCACUCCGCNUGGGGAGUACGACCGCAAGGUUGAAACUCAAAGGAAUUGACGGGGGCCCGCACNAGCGGUGGAGCAUGUGGUUUAAUNNGAAGCAACGCGAAGAACCUUACCAGGUCUUGACAUCCCGAUGCUANUNUUAGAGAUAGGAAGUUACUUCGGUACAUCGGAGACAGGUGGUGCAUGGUUGUCGUCAGCUCGUGUCGUGAGAUGUUGGGUUAAGUCCCGCAACGAGCGCAACCCUUAUUGUUAGUUGCCAUCAUUAAGUUGGGCACUCUAGCGAGACUGCCGGUAAUAAACCGGAGGAAGGUGGGGAUGACGUCAAAUCAUCAUGCCCCUUAUGACCUGGGCUACACACGUGCUACAAUGGUCGGUACAACGAGUUGCGAGCCGGUGACGGCAAGCUAAUCUCUGAAAGCCGAUCUCAGUUCGGAUUGGAGGCUGCAACUCGCCUCCAUGAAGUCGGAAUCGCUAGUAAUCGCGGAUCAGCACGCCGCGGUGAAUACGUUCCCGGGCCUUGUACACACCGCCCGUCACACCACGAGAGUUUGUAACACCCGAAGUCGGUGAGGUANCCUUUUAGGG
rnacentral:rRNA from 1 species